UCCUACGGGAGGCAGCAGUGGGGAAUUUUCCGCAAUGGGCGAAAGCCUGACGGAGCAACGCCGCGUGAGGGAUGAAGGCCUCUGGGCUGUAAACCUCUUUUCUCAAGGAAGAAGAUAUGACGGUACUUGAGAAAUAAGCCACGGCUAAUUCCGUGCCAGCAGCCGCGGUAAUACGGGAGUGGCAAGCGUUAUCCGGAAUUAUUGGGCGAAAAGCGUCCGCAGGCGGCCCUUCAAGUCUGCUGUAAAAACGUGGAGCUUAACUCCAUCAUCGCAGUGGAAACUGUAGGGCUUGAGUUUGGUAGGGGCAGAGGGAAUUCCCGGUGUAGCGGUGAAAUGCGUAGAUAUCGGGAAGAACACCAGUGGCGAAGGCGCUCUGCUGGGCCAUAACUGACGCUCAUGGACGAAAGCCAGGGGAGCGAAAGGGAUUAGAUACCCCUGUAGUCCUGGCCGUAAACGAUGAACACUAGGUGUCGGGGGAAUCGACCCCCUCGGUGUCGUAGCUAACGCGUUAAGUGUUCCGCCUGGGGAGUACGCACGCAAGUGUGAAACUCAAAUGAAUUGACGG
rnacentral:rRNA from 1 species